rnacentral:rRNA from 1 species
CAGCCGCCGCGGGAAAACGGAGGAUCCGAGCGUUAUCCGGAAUUAUUGGGUUUAAAGGGUGCGUAGGCGGAUAGAUAAGUCAGUGGUGAAAGACGGUGGCUCAACCAUCGCAGUGCCGUUGAUACUGUUUAUCUUGAAUAUGGAUGAGGUAGGCGGAAUGUGGCAAGUAGCGGUGAAAUGCAUAGAUAUGCCACAGAACACCGAUUGCGAAGGCAGCUUACCAAGGCAAAAUUGACGCUGAGGCACGAAAGCGUGGGGAUCGAACAGGAUUAGAUACCCGUGUAGUCCCUGUCUCUUAUAC